AUUGAACGCUGGCGGCAGGCCUAACACAUGCAAGUCGAACGAGAGGCGGACGGGUGAGUAAUGUCUGAGAACCUGCCUGAUCGACGGGGCUCACUACUGGAAAAGGUAGCUAAUACCGCAUACCAUCAGAUGUGCCCUGAUGGGAUUAGCUAGUUGGUGUGGUAACGGCUCACCAAGGCGACGAUCCCUAGCUGGUCUGAGAGGCUGACCAGCAACACUGGGACUGAGACACGGUCCAGCCUCCUACGGGAGGCAGCAGUGGGGAAUAUUGCGCAAUUGGCGCAAGCCUGAUGCAGACACGCCGCGUGUAUGAAGAAGGGCUUCGGGUUGUAAAGUACUUUCAGCGGGGAGGCGUUACCCACAGAAAAAGCACCGGCUAACUCCGUGCCAGCAGCCGCGGUAAUUC
rnacentral:rRNA from 1 species